CUUCCCCUAUUGGUCAGCCUCUCCUCACUCAUGGGCGGGCAUUCAUCUUAUUGGUCAGUAUGGGGCAGCUCAGUGAUUGACAGCUCGUCAGCCAAUUACAUUUCCUUUGUUAUCUCAUUGCAAAGAACUAAUUGGCCAAGAAAGCUCAGUACUAGAAAUCAUUGAACUUCCAUUUUAUACUGCGGUUUAACAGCCCAGCACGGAACAGUCCCACUGAGCGUAUGGCCAGGGCCGUCCGACUACUCGUCUAUAGGGUUACGUAAAUUUGCCUUUGACUGCAGGUAAAAGAGAAAAGUGGAUAUAAUCUUGACACAUUUACAUAUGGACGGUAUAAUGAGGAGCGGAGACUUCAUACGUUUAUGCGGGGAUUGUCCGGACAAUGUAAUUAGGAGUGAGCGGAUCUUCCGUCGUACAAGACGCCACGUAAUUAAGUGAUUACUAUUGAUUGUACAAAUGUCCACGGAGCGCUUAUCAUCUCCCAGGGAUUCAUUUAUAUAAUAAAAAGGUGAUAUUAAAA